rnacentral:lncRNA from 1 species
CAGCACCAGCCAAUGAACCUGAAAAACAUUUGAAAAUAUUUGGGCUAAGUACUAAUGUACUUAGUGGGCUGCAACUUUUAAAACAUUUCGCAAUUCGUAAGAGCAGUUUAUCCAAUCAUUCAUGACAUAACUUAGAAGGUUUUAAAGUAAAGGAACUUCUAAGCAUGUUAAAAUAUUUCAUUUUAUUAGCGCGCUGUUGUCACACUCUGUUCUGUUACUCGCUGUGAUCCCGGACCUUUUAGCCACCGACGGAUCCCUCAUUCCCAUGAUACUUGCCCUGAGGACGUAACUCAGACAAGUUGAAUUGACCUCGGGACGCUACCCAGUCAGGCCUUACAUGAUACAUGCUCCGGAACACAUCCAGCCAAGCACCCUUAUAACGCCUCUGACAUGAAUUAGUGUCCGAUGGAGAUCAACCCACCGAAACAACUAACAAGUGUACACAAUUCUCAAACAACGUGUUAGGUCAUAAGAGAACCUCGAUCGAUCCAUGAAUUGCGAGCCUUAAACAUUACAGAGCGCACAAAAAUAUUUAUUGGAUAAACAGUUUUCAUUUCAUGAAAUAUUUAGAGCUUAAUAACUCAAUCAUACAUUUGGAAAGUAAGCCCACCUGAUUACAGCUCUAGUUGUGAUGCAGUAGCUCUCGUCUAGGUAUUACUCUCGCGCUUGACCUUUAUUGCGAGAAUUUAAAUAAGAUAUUUGCUGAGCAGAAUUCUCAAAUAAUGAGAAUACGAAAUUAAAUAUGCAUGACUCUCUUAUGCAUUGAUUUAUUAUUCUUGAUAAUUCUAUUAUUAAUCCCAACUAUCGGAUUGAUUAAGCAAGAUAACUAACUGAAGCUCGUCUCGUACGAUACGGAUAAAUAAUAUGACUAACCGUUCGUCUUAGGGUGUUCUAACUUACUGGUAAAAAAUCUCGCUCUAUUUAAUGAUUAAAAGAAAAUAGCUAAGUCGGCUCAUUCGCUUAGUAAUCUCGUAAGAAUUAAUCGUAAUUGGGCAGCUGCGUCUAAUUAACGGCUAAACAAAAUGAAUGAAGUAAUAAUAAUAUAAGUCAAAUAAUUAAAAGGCUCAACAUAAUACAGCCUAAUAAUUAAUAAGAGUGGGCUGAAUUAAAAUAAAUAAUUACAAUUCAUAUAUAUAUAAAUUUGGAGCCCAAGUAAAAUAAUUAAAUUUGGACUGAAUAAUUAAACUACAAGGCCAAUUGAAAUGAGAUUGUUGGACUCAAAUAAUUAAAUAAAUCUGGGCUCAAAAUGAAUAAAUAAAUUUGGACGGCCCAUAGAAAAUAUAUAAGGCGGUCCAACGGAAUAAAAUACGAGGCCCGAACAAUGAAUGAAAUCGACUCAAUUACUGAAUAAACGAUUGGGCUCAAUUAAAUAAUAAUACAUGGCCCAAUGAAUAAACCAGCCCAUCAAUAUUAAAAUCAGCCAGAUAAAAUAAAAAGGCCAAAAAUACCAAAAAUUCCUCCCUCAUUCAACAACUCGGUCUCUCUCUCUCUCUCAAACAGACGCCUCUCCCUCUCUUCCUCCCACUCGCUCCGCCUUCCGCCGAGGCCUCCGCCGCCGCCGCCGUAAUCCGACGAGCCAGCCGCCGCCUUCUCCUUCUCACACCUCUAUUCUCCCUCUCGAUUCACGGACGAAGGCAAAACGAAAAGGGAGCCCUGAUUUCCUUCCCAAAUCAGAGAGCGCCGCCGCCGCUGCAACUGGAAGGCCGGGAGAUUCGCCGCGCCGCUGCAUGUCGGAAUCCGCCCGCUCGUCGCCACAGUCUCUACCUGCUCCUCUCGUAAUUUCUUUCUCCCUCCCCAAAUCGACAGAACAAAGGAAGCCCUAACUUCACAAAUUGGGGAUCGCCGCCACUGCUUCGAUCCGCCACCGCCGCGGAACCGGCGAGCGGCGCCGCUGCUGCUGUGCGAUUUCCGGCGAGCAGGGGAGGGUCCGCCGUUGCUGCUAUCUCCGGGGGUCGAAGGUUUUGAGCCACGCCACGCUGCUGCUGGAUUCGGGCGAAGGGUACUCUGCCGCUGCUGAAAUCCAGAAUCGGCGAGAGCCAUCGCCGAGGUCGGGAGUCGUCUGCCUUUCACCGCUCGACGCCGCCGACGCUGCUGUCCCCGCGAGUUGCCGCCCACUCGACGCCGCCGUUGCUGCUGUCCCUUGGCCCGAACAAACAGGGCAGUAGCCCCCGCCCUCUCUAAAAGCUAAGUCGUAUUCUCCUUUUCUUCCAUAUGGUUAUCAAGGAUUGUGGCCUUUAUGUCCCUGACUAUGUAAGGGUUAAAUGCUUGUUCUUUAUGGCUUUCGGUUCUAAGUACAGUGGCAAUCUAUAUCAAUGUAUGAGUCAAACUAUUUCUGUGGAAUGCUAUAAUCAUGUACGCAUAUGUGGUUUGCUAUGUCCCUCUGUAAUAUACUUCAUCCUGUAUUUAUGAACUUCUAAUACAUGAAGCAUGCUUUGUUGGGGUGUGAAAUGUAUAUAUGAAGAUAGUGAACUGAGAUAGCAUAAAAUACCUUGAGGUAUAAGUGUUGGUUGGCUGCUAUGGCUGGAUGAGAUGGAAGGAUUCUGAAAUAAAUCAUAUCCGUUCCUUUCAAUAAAUGCAGGUUGCAAAUGGAAGAAGAUGAGAAAUUAAAGCCAAUGUUUACCUUAAAGUUUCUGGACUGGAAUGACUAGAAGUUGGCAGACCGAAUGAAGGAAGAUCUGUUAUUCUGAAAAUUUCUAAGUGUAGAAUGAGGAGAAUGCAGUGUUUUGUUGGCUGUGGUUUGAUGUUGGCUGGAAGGCAAAGGGUUGGUGCACUUGAGUGUGCUAAUGGAUGGUAGUAGGGUGUAGGGAGAAGUGGAUUGGGGGAAUGGGGUGGCUGGCUUGUAGCUUGUAGCUCCAGCACACCUCACGCCUCCUAUGCCCUUUUUUUUCUCCCUUGCUUUUUUUUUUUUUUUUCUGGGUUGGCAGAUGGUGUUUUUGAAUUGUGGGUUAGGGACUUUGUGUGAUAAUUGUAAUAGAUAGGUUGUAAAAGUUGUGGUGUGAUAGAUAGAAUCUCUCAACGUUGGUCAUUCUGUAUCAGAAAUGCUAACUUUGGUUUUGCUAUGUAAUCGCGUAUCUGUGUAUCUGUAUAUUCUAAUAAAUCUCGUAACUCGAUAUUCUAUUUCUUCUCUUGCUAAUGUCGAUAGACUGUAAAAUAAAUCUAAAUUAAAUCCGUAGAUUUAAUUCGUCUUGCUCAUCUAAUAUCUAAAUUAAAUCCGAAGAUUUAAUCUUCCUCACAAGUUGGAAUAAUCCACGAUUCAAGCAGAAUAAUAAUAGUAGUUAUAAAUAAUAAUAAUAGAAAUAAUAUUUCUAUUAAAUAACAUGACUUUGCUAAGUCAGUUAUGAAUCUGAAAUAAAAAUUAUUGACUAUCUCAAUAAUUGUUAUCGCGGUUUCUCACGCGAAGCUAACGGACGUAAAUAAUAACUCUGCUUCCAAUAAUAUAAAUAUAAUUCAAAAACAUAAGCGGAUAAGCCUGUUAUCAACCUAGAUAACCCCUGGGUUUUAUUACUGAAUUAUGCAAUAAAUAAUUAUUGCAUUACUGAUUUUAAUAGGGAUAGAAUAAUAAUAAUAAUAAUAAUAAUAAUAAUAAUAAUAAUAAUAAUAAUAAUAAUAAUAAUAAUAAUAAUAAUAAUAAUAAUAUAAAAAAAGAGCGGGUUACUACAUACUACCCCUCUUAACAAAAAUUUCGUCCCGAAAUUUGCAUAUUUGGGUCAUCUAGUUUGGAAUAUUAGACAUUCAUUCCAUUCAGCUCUUAUGCGGCAUUGAAUCAUACACGGCCUUAACCUUCUAACAACGCGACAUCGUUCUUCAAACCAGAAAUUUUCUUCAAAAUCUGGUAUGUCAUCACGUCGUGGAACUUGCCCUUUUCUUUUCUAGGAGAUUGGAGUGUGAUCCUUCUCUCGCUACAGAGUAUUGUAGCUCUGACUCGAUUAAGUCUAUCAAUUCUAGGAUUACGUCAAAUUCUAUCAUAGAAAUAACACGCUAGUAACGUCCUUAGCAUUCAGUCCUCCACCAUCAGUUAUCCUAACUUCUGAAGUUGUUUCAGACGAUUGCAACGUCAAUUCUAGUUUCUUACUAGCAGUAGGUAUAAUGAAAGAGUGAGAUGCUCCAGUAUCAAACAAAGCUAUAAUCGACACGUCGAAAACAUUAAUCGUACCUGCUAGGUUUUCCUGAUCUCCUGCUGCUUAGUGCUGGUUAAGGGCAUAGGCCCUAGCAUUUCUUGGUUGUCCUUGGUAUCCUCCAGGACCUUGGUUCUGUCGUUGUUGGUUUCCGGGAUUUUGUUGUUGGGGUGCUCCUCCUCUUUUCUUUGGGCAUGCUGAAGCAAAAUGCCCAGGUUCCCCGCAGUAAUAACAAACAUUCCUUCCUUUCAUGCAUUCCCCUAAAUGGGGUUUCCGACAGUUUGGACAAGGUGGUGGAGCUAUAGCUUGCGGCUGUUGGUUCUGGUGCUGAUUUUUAUUUUGAUUUGCCGCCCGUGGUUUCUUUCUAUUUCCAUUCCCAGGUUUUUCCACCAGUCCCCCUCGUUCCAUUUUCUUUUUCCUUUACCACUAUCCUGAGAUGGUACAAUUCCAAAUUGUUCGGGAGAUUUUCCUUCUUCCUUGGUUAGCAGUGAUUCAAUGGUGAGGGCUCUGCUCAGUGUUUGUGCAUACGUAAGACCUCCUUGGCUUGCUAAAGAAAUCGCUAUCUCAUGGCGCAAUCCAUUUCUGAAUUUUUCUGCGCGCUUCUCAUCAGUGUCUACAAGCAUCGGAGCAUAUCUUGAUAGCUGAUUGAAGGCUCUAUCGUACUCCGUAACUGUCCCAGCUUUCUGUUUCAGAUUCCAGAACUCGUUCUGCUUCUUCUGUCUAUAGCAUCCUGCUAUGUACUUCUCAUACAACACAGUCUUAAAAUCUUCCCAAGUGAAGUUUUCCCACUGUUCAUCAGUCAUUGUGCGUCUCACUGAUUCCCACCAGAAGUCGGCUUCGUCCACCAGUUGGUAGGCUGCACAAGUUACUUUGUCUUCGUCAUCGCAACGGAUGUAGUUAAAGAUACGCUCUAUGGCCCUAAUCCAUUUUUCGGCAUCUGUUGGAUCGCCCAGCCCGUCAAACGUUGGAGGUUUUUCCUUACGAAACUUCUCUUCAGCAGUACGAUUUGGUGCUACUUGUUGGAUUGGCUCUUCAGGGAUGAAUCCCCUGCCGCGUCCGCGACCACGACCACGUCCUCGUCCCCUACCGCGUCCUCUUAGUGCGUCUUCCAUUCUGGUUUACGAACGAUAUUAACACAACAGUGAGACUCAUUCUACAUACAUACAUACCUAGAUAUGUACAAGAUAUAUCGCUUCUAUGGUGUAACCAUGUGAAAGACUAGUUCUAUGUGGAAACUAAUCUUAACUUAAGUGAAAUACUUAAGUGAAGCCUUAAUCUCAUGAUAUUUCUUCUACGUUGUAACUAUCCUAUGUUAAACGUUGCUAUCUUAUCAUUCCUUACUUAGACCGAUCAAGCGGAGCUUUCACGACUAACGUUUCUAAAGUAUCAUUGGGUAGCACUCAAACGGUUUGUAAGAGGGCUCAUCAUUCAUAUCGUACANGCUGCUUGGUGCUGGUUAAGGGCAUAGGCCCUAGCAUUUCUUGGUUGUCCUUGGUAUCAUCCAGGACCUUGGUUCUGUCGUUGUUGGUUUCCGGGAUUUUGUUGUUGGGGUGCUCCUCCUCUUUUCUUUGGGCAUGCUGAAGCAAAAUGCCCAGGUUCCCCGCAGUAAUAACAAACAUUCCUUCCUUUCAUGCAUUCCCCUAAAUGGGGUUUCCGACAGUUUGGACAAGGUGGUGGAGCUAUAUCUUGCGGCUGUUGGUUCUGGUGCUGAUUUUUAUUUUGAUUUGUCGCCCAUGGUUCUUUCCAUUUCCAUUCCCAGGGUUUCCUACCCUAGUUCCCUCGUUCCAUUUUCUUUUUCCUUUACCACUAUCCUGAGAUGGUACAAUUCCAGAUUGUUCGGGAGAUUUUCUUUCUCCUUUGGUAGCAGUGAUUCAAUGGUGAGGGCUCUACUCAGUGUUUGUGCAUACGUAAGACCUCCUUGGCUUGCUAAAGAAAUCGCUAUCUCAUGGCGCAAUCCAUUUUUGAAUUUUUCUGCGCGCUUCUCAUCAGUGUCCACCAGCAUCGGGGCAUAUCUUGAUAGCUGAUUGAAGGCUCUAUCGUACUCCGUAACUGUCCCAGCUUUCUGUUUCAGAUUCCAGAACUCAUUCUGCUUCUUCUGUCUAUAGCAUCCUGGUAUGUACUUCUCAUACAACACAGUCUUAAAAUCUUCCCAAGUGAAGUUUCCCAGUGUUCAUCAGUCAUGUGCGUCUCACUGAUUCCCACCAGAAGUCGGCUUCGUCCACCAGUUGGUAGGUUGCACAAGUUACUUUAUCUUCGUCAUCGCAACGGAUGUAGUUAAAGAUACGCUCUAUGGCCCUAAUCCAUUUUUCGGCGUCUGUUGGAUCGCCCAGCCCGUCAAACGUUGGAGGUUUUUCCUUACGAAACUUCUCUUCAACAGUACGAUUUGGUGCUACUUGUUGGAUUGGCUCUUCAGGGAUGAAUCCCCUGCCGCGUCCGCGACCACGACCACGUCCUCGUCCCCUACCGCGUCCUCUUGGUGCGUCUUCCAUUCUGGUUUACGAACGAUAUAAACACAAUAGUGAGACUCAUUCUUCAUACAUACAUACCUAGAUAUGUACAAGAUAUAUCGCUUCUAUAGUGUAACCAUGUGAAAGACUAGUUCUAUGUGGAAACUAAUCUUAACUUAAGUGGAAUAACUUAAGUGAAACCUUAAUCUCAUGACAUUUCUUCUACGUUGUAACAUAUCUAUGUUAAACGCUGCUAUCUUAUCAUUCCUUACUUAAAUCGAUCAAGCGGAGCUUUCACGACUAACAUUUCUAAAGUACCCUUAGGUAGUACUCAAACGGUUUGUAAGAGGACUCAUCAUUCAUAUCGUACAGGCAGUGGACCUAAAACGAUAACAUAAAACUUUUCAUUCAUUCAAUCAUUCGUUUCUUUAGAAAACUUAAAACAUUUGGACAGUAAGUGUUCCUUUCAUGAAAACUCUUCUUAAGUCGGAAAGAUUAAAAGAAUCUAACUCGACCAUAAAUUCAUUGAUUCGUUAAGGGCUCGGGUAGUCCCAAACACGACAUACAUACAUACAUUGGUUAUAUGAGCCGGAGACUCAAAAUAACAAUAUGAAAGCGAUAAGCAAUCCAUAUAACAUCAUUCAUUGAAAGCGCGCACUUCUUAAAAAACCUUGAGAGCAUUUAAAACUUUUGAACUUUUAAAGCAUACCUUGGUUGCGGCAGUGUGACGGCGAGCUGAGGUUCAACAACUUUCUUAGAAGUCUAGAGGUACUAUUCUAGACUCAACAUUAGAAGCUUUCGGUUAUCAGAGACAUGAAAGAAAACUUAUGCUCUGAUACCACUUGUAACAGCCCGACUUCCCAAGGCAAAAGGAAAUAGAAAAAUAAUGGAAAGUCUUAAUCAACCAGAAUAAACUUGACAAUCUACCCAUUAAAUUGGGUAUUCAUAUUCCAAAGAGAUAAAAUGAAAGGAGGUAAAUUGAAAGGGCUUAAGAGUUGCCAAUCAAAUGACAAUAUUCAAACUCAGGAUCACAUAAGUUUAGUUUCAUGCUUCGAAUAACCAACAUUCAUUAAUCGAAUUAUUUAAGGGUCAAGAGUCUAAGCUCAUCAAAAGAUAUCAUUUAGAGUCAUAACAUAAAAGUCUUAAGUCAAGGAAACGAAAGACAAAUAAAGGCUAGUACUACAGCGGAAGUCAAAACACGGAGUUGAACCCUAGCCUCAGCUCUCCCCGUCAACACCAGCCAUCAACCUGAAAAACAUUUGAAAAUAUUUGGGCUAAGUACUAAUGUACUUAGUGGGCUGCAAUUUUUAAAAUAUUUCACAAGUCGUAAGAGCAGUUUAUCCAAUCAUUCAUGACAUAACUUAGAAGGUUUUAAAGUAAAGAACUUCUAAGCAUGUUAAAGCAUUUCAUUUUAUUAGCGCGCUGUUGUCACACUCUGUUCUGUACUCGCUAUGAUCCCGGACCUUUUAGCCACCGACGGAUCCCUCAUUCCCAUGAUACUUGCCCUGAGGACGUAACUCAGACAAGUUGAAUUGACCUCGGGACGCUACCCAGGCAGGCCUUACAUGAUACAUGCUCCGGAACACAUCCAGCCGAGCACCCUUAUAACGCCUCUUGCAUGAAUUAGUGCCCGAUGGAGAUCAACCCACCGAAACAACUAACAAGUGUACACAAUUCUCAAAUAACGUGUUAGGCCAUAAGAGAAUCUCGAUCGAUCCAUGAAUUGCGAGCCUUAAACAUAAUAGAGCGCACAAAAAUAUUUAUUGGAUAAACAGUUUUCAUUUCAUGAAAUAUUUAGAGCUUAAUAACUCAAUCAUACAUUUGGAAAGUAAGCCCACCUGAUUAUAGCUCUAGUUGUGGUGCAGUAGCUCUCGUCUAGGUAUUACUCUCGCACUUGACCUUUAUUGCGAGAAUUUAAAUAAGAUAUUUGCUCGAGCAAAAAAUUCUCAAAUAAUGAGGAUGCGUGAGUAACUAUGCAUGAAUCUCUUAUGCAUGAAUUAUCAUAACCCGAGAGUUUUAAUGAUAAACAAGGCUAUUGGAUUAAGAAAACUAACUAAGUCUCGCUUCAUGAAAUCGAAUCAUAACUAUAAUUAAUCUGCUCAUCUUAGAGUGUUUUAACCCACUUGAUAAUAAAUAGAAGUCGCCCUAUUUAAUCGAUAAAAGAAAGUAGCUAAAUCGAACAUCCGUUUGAUAAGAUAACCUCGUAAAAAUUAAUCGUAAUUGGGUAGCUGCAUCUAAUUAACCGGGCUAAACAAUUAUGAAUUGAAGUAAUAAUAUAAGUCAAAUAAUUAAAAGGCUCAACAUAAUACAGCCUAAUAAUUAAUUAGGAGUGCUCGGGUUAAAGUAAUGCAAUUGGGCUAAAAUAAUAAUGAAGAGGUCCAAGUAAUAUGAUAAUUAUCUUGGGCCCAAAUGAUUAAGCAAGUAAGUAGUUGGGCUCAAUUAAAUAAAUAAUACAGGCUCCAACUACAUAAAAUUCAAGCUCAUAAUUUUAUCUCUUAGCCCAAGAAUAGAAUGAUUUAUUCUGGACUUGAAAUUAAAUAAAUAAAAAAAAAUCAGCCCAAUUGACAUGAUACAGCAGCCCAAAAAAAAUGAAUAAUCAAAGGCCCAGAUAAAUAAAAUCAGAGGCCCAAUCAGCAUUUAAAAUCGGCCCAAUUUAUGAAGUAAAAGGGGAACCCAAAUCUCAACUCUCUCACUCUCGGUUAUCUCUCUCCCCCUCAAACCAGUCGCGCCUCCCUCUCUCUUCCCUCCUCUCGCUCAGCCUCCAGCCGGCUCCGGCGCCUUCUCGUCGCCGGCACGAGCUCCUGCUACUGUCUCUGAGAGAUUUAGGGGAGGCCACCCAGAAAUUGAGCCCUAAUUCUCCCCCUUCCGAAUCGAGCCCUAGCUCUCCCAAAUUAGAAAUCGCCGUCGCCGCCACCUAUGGAAGAACGGCGAACGGUCGUUGGUCGUUGCUCUGCCUGACUCGGACGCUCCCUUCGCCCAUCUCCUCUCGGCAUCAAUCGUCCUUCUCUCCCUCGAAUCUAUUGAAGGAACGAAGAGGAAGCUUUAAUUUCUACCGGAGACAAGGAUACCGCCGCCGCUGCAACUGGAAGGCCGGCUUCGCCGCGCCGCUGCGCUCGCGGCGGCAGCCGCUGGUCAUCAGGCCGCCGAUCCUCGACUGCUCCCUCUUCACCUGACUACCUUUCUUUCAAAGUCGAGUGAAAAGAAAAAGGGAAGAAACCCGAGUUCCUUAGUCAGAAAUAGUCUUCGCCGCCCCUGAAAUCUCCGCGACAUUGUCACCUCAAGCUGGCGUCGCUCCGCCUAAAACUCUACCGCUGCCGCGCACCGAGCCGCUGCUGCUACUCCAGAAUCGGCGAGGAGCCGUCGCUGGGGUCGGGAGUCAUCUGCCCUCCACCGGUCGACGCCGUCGACGCUGCUGUUCUCGGAGUUACCGCCCAGACGUCUUCUCUCGGCCGGACUAAGCAGGGCAGCGCCCCUCUUUUCUAAAAGCUAACUUUUUGUUCUAUCCCCUGCUAUUGUAUUUCGAUUCAUGUUGCUACAUGAUGGGAGUUCUCAUGGCUUUGGUUCUAUGUACAAUGGUAAUAUCUCAAUGUAUGAAUCAUACUACUUCUGUGAAACGCCAUAAAUCAUGUAUUCGCAUAUGGUUUGCUAUGUCCCUCUGUAGUAUGCUUAAUCCUAUAUUUCUGAACCUUUAAUACAUGAAGCAUGCUCUGUUGGGGUGUAAAAUGUGUAUAUGAAAGUAGUGAACUGAGAUAGCAUAAAAUACCUUGAGAAUGUGUUGGUUGGCUGUUGCUAUGGUAUUGAAUAAACUGAGAUAAUAAAUAAUCACAAUUGUUAGUUCUUCUCAAUGAAUGCGGGAGAAAUCAUGGAUAGAUGGAAGGAUUAAAGGCAAGGUUUACCUUGCAGUUUGGCAGGGUAAUGAAUGAAUGAUCUCUCUCUUAUUUCUUCAACUGUUGAGGUGUUAACUGGAAUGGCUGAAAUAAUUUGUAGUUGUUGUUCUUCAAUAAAUGCAGGUGAAAUCAUGGAGAAAGGUGGGAACAUUAAGGCAAGCUUACCUUGAGAACUUGGCAGGAACAAGAUAGGGACUGAUCUUCGAUAAUUCUUGGUGAAAACAACUGAGAGUGAGUGUUGUAUUUGUUGGCUGAAGUUAACAACUAGUAGAGGAAGAAGUUUCAGCUGCAACUUGAGUAUGCUAUGGAAGAAGUGCAGAGAUAGGGUGGCUGGAGUAUGGGGCUGGAUUGGAUGGGGUGGGCGGCUAGCAUAGGGAAAUGGGAGGGUGUAGGGAUAGGAGGGGGUGCGGUUGUAGCUUGUAGCUUGUAGUAGGAGAAAUGAGUGCAGCAGUGGCUGCUGGAACAGCCCACAUUCUCUUUCUCCCCCUUCCCCUUUUUUUUUCCUGCUCAUUUGUACUCAAUAUUCUCAUUGCUUAGGUAGAUGCUAGGCUUGUAAUAGAUAGGUUGUAAGGUUGUGGUGUGAAUAAUAGAAUCCUUCAGUGUUGGAAACUCUAAUCUGUAAUACAGUACCGUUUCUAAUCUGUACCGCAUUUUUGUAUAUCUGCUUGAUAUCUGAUUUCUUGCUUUGCUAGAAUAAAUCUAAAUUAAAUCCGUAGAUUUAAUUAACUUCACAAGUCGGAAAUCAUCCACGACUUAUGUAAAAAUAUAAAAGUAAUUAAAAAAUAAUAAUAGAAAUAACAUUUCUAAUAAAUAACUUGACUUUACUAAGUCAGUUAUAAAUCUAAAAUAAAGAUUAUUGAUUGUCUCAAUAAUCCUUAUCUUUCUCACGCGAAGCUAACAGACAUAAAAAAAAUAAUAAUAAUAAUAAUAACUCUACUUCCAAUGAUAUAUAUAUAUAUAUAUAUAUAUAUUUCAAUUCAAAAACAUAAGUUGAAAUCAAGUCAAAUCAUAGAUAAUUACUGAAAGAUGCAAUAACUAAUUAUUGCAUUACUGGUUUUAAUAAAUUAAAAGAGCGGGUUAUUACAUACUACCCCUCUUAACAAAAAUUUCGUCCCGAAAUUUCAUAUCUGGGUCAUCUAGUUUGGAAUAUUAGACAUUCAUUCCAUUCAGCUCUUACGCGACAUUGAAUCAUACACGGCCUUAACUUUCUAACAACGCGACAUCGUUCUUCAAACCAGAAAUUUUCUUCAAAAUCUGGUAUGUCAUUAUGUCGUGGAACUUGCCUUUUCUUUUCUUGGUGAUUGGAGUGUGAUCCUUCUCUCUCUACAAAGUAUCGUAGCUCUGACUCGAUUAGGUCUAUCAAUUCUAGGAUUACGCCAAAUUCUAUCAUGGAAAUAACACGAAAGUAACGCCCUUAGCAUUUAGUCUUCCACCAUCAGUUAUCCUAACUUCUGAAGUUGUUUCGGACGAUUGCAACGUCAAUUCUAGUUUCUCACUAGCAGUAGGUGGGAUGAAAGAGUGAGAUGCUCCAGUAUCAGACAAAGCUAUAAUCAACACGUCGAAAACAUUAAUCGUACCUGCUAGGUUUUCAUGAUCUCCUGCUGCUUGGUGUGGUUAAGGGCAUAGGCCCUAGCAUUUCGUGGUGUCCUUGGUAUCCUCCAGGACCUUGGUUCUGUCGUGUUGGUUCGAUUUUGUUGUGGGGUGCUCCUCCUCUUUUCUUUGGGCAUGCUAAGCAAAAUGCCCAGGUUCCCCCAGUAAUAACAAACAUUCUUCCUUUCAUGCAUUCCCUAAAUGGGGUUUCCGACAUUUGGACAAGGUGGUGGAGCUAUAGCUUGCGGCUGUUGGUUCUGGUGCUGAUUUUAUUUUGAUUUGCCGCCAUGGUUUCUUUCCAUUCCCAGGGUUUCCACCAGUUCCCUCGUUCCAUUUUCUUUUUCCUUUACCACUAUCCUGAGAUGGUACAAUUCCAGAUUGUUCGGGAGUUUUCCUUUCUCCUUUGGUAGAUGAUUCAAUGGUGAGGGCUCUCUCAUGUUUGUGCAUACGUAAGACCUCCUUGCUUGCUAAAGAAAUCGCUAUCUCAUGGCGCAAUCCAUUUUGAAUUUUUCUGCGCGCUUCUCAUAGUGUCCACCAGCGUCGGAGCAUAUCUGAUAGCUGAUUGAAGGCUCUAUCGUAUAGCUGAUUGAAGGCUCUAUCGUACUCCGUAACUGUCCCAGCUUUCUGUUUCAGAUUCCAGAACUCGUUCUGUCUUCUUCUGUCUAUAGCAUCCUGGUAUGUACUUCUCAUACAACACAGUCUUAAAAUCUUCCCAAGUGAAGUCUUCCCACUGGUCAUCAGUCAUUGUGCGUCUCACUGAUUCCCACCAGAAGUCGGCUUCGUCCACCAGUUGGUAGGUUGCACAAGUUACUUUGUCUUCGUCGUCGCAACGAAUGUAGUUAAAGAUACGCUCUAUGGCCCUAAUCCAUUUUUCGGCGUCUGUUGGAUCACCCAGCCCGUCAAACGUUGGAGGUUUUUCCUUACGAAACUUCUCUUCAGCAGUACGAUUUGGUGCUACUUGUUGGAUUGGCUCUUCAGGGACGAAUCCCAUGCCGCGUCCGCGACCACGACCACAUCCUCGUCCCCUACCGCGUCCUCUUGGUGCGUCUUCCAUUCCGGUUUACGAACGAUAUUAACACAACAGUGAGACUCAUUCUACAUACAUACAUACAUAUCGCUUCUAUGGUGUAACCAUGUGAAAGACUAGUUCUAUGUGGAAACUAAUCUUAACUUAAGUGGAUCCUUGAUCUCAUGACAUUGCUUCUACGUUGUAACAUAUCUAUGUUGAACGUUGCUAUCUUUUCAUACCUUACUUAAAUCGAUCAAGCGGGGCUAUCACGACUAACAUUUCUAAAGUAUCCUUGGGUAGUACUCAAACGGUUUGUAAGAGGACUUAUCAUUCAAGUCGUAUAGGCGAUGAACCUAAAACGAUAACAUAAAACCUUUCAUUCAUUCAAUCAUUUGUUUCUUUUGAAACCUUAAAAACAUUUGGACAGUGCAUGUCCCUUUCAUGAAAACUUUUCUCAAGUCGGAAAGAUUUAGGAAAUCUAACUCGAUCAUUAAUUCAUUGAUUCGUUAAGGGCUCGGGUAGUCCCAAACACGACAUACAUAGAUACAUUGGUUAUAUGAGCCGGAGACUCAAAAUAACAAUAUGGAAGCGAUAAGCAAUCCAUAUAACAUCAUUCAUUGAAAGCGCGCACUUCUUAAAAACAUUGAAAGCAUUUAAAACUUUUGAACUUUUAAAGCAUACCUUAGUUGCGGCAGUGUGACGGCGAACUGAGGUUCAACAACUUUCUUAGAAGUCUAGAGGUACUAUUCUAGACUCAACAUUAGAAGCUUUCGGUUAUCAGAGACAUGAAAGAAAACUUAUGCUCUGAUACCACUUGUAACAGCCCGACUUCCCAAGGCAAAAGGAAAUAGGAAAAAUAAUGGAAAGUCUUAAUCAACCAGAAUAAACUUGACAAUCUACCCAUUAAAUUGGGUAUUCAUAUUCCAAAGAGAUAAAAUGAAAGGAGGUAAAUUGAAAGGCCUUAAGAGUUGCCAAUCAAAUGACAAUAUUCAAACUCAGGAUCACAUAAGUUUAGUUUCAUGCUUCAGAUAACCAACAUUUCUUAAUCAAAAUACUUGAGAGUCAAAAGUCUAGGCUCAACAAAAGAUAUCGUUUAGAGUCAUAACAUAAAGGUCUUAAGUCAAGAAAACGAAAGACAGAUAAAGGCUAGCACAACAGCGGAAGUCAAAACACGGAGUUGAACCCUAGCCUCAGCUCUCCCCGUCAACACCAGCCAUCAACCUGAAAAACAUUUGAAAAUAUUUGGGCUAAGUACUAAUGUACUUAGUGGGCUGCAACUUUUAAAACAUUUCACAAUUCGUAAGAGCAGUUUAUCCAAUCAUUCAUGACAUAACUUAGAAGGUUUUAAAGUAAAGGAACUUCUAAGCAUGUUAAAGCAUUUCAUUUUAUUAGCGCGCUGUUGUCACACUCUGUUCUGUUACUCGCUGUGAUCCCGGACCUUUUAGCCACCGACGGAUCCCUCAUUCCCAUGAUACUUGCCCUGAGGACGUAACUCAGACAAGUUGAAUUGACCUCGGGACGCUACCCAGGCAGGCCUUACAUGAUACAUGCUCCGGAACACAUCCAGCCGAGCACCCUUAUAACGCCUCUUGCAUGAAUUAGUGCCCGAUGGAGAUCAACCCACCGAAACAACUAACAAGUGUACACAAUUCUCAAAUAACGUGUUAGGCCAUAAGAGAACCUCGAUCGAUCCAUGAAUUGCGAGCCUUAAAC